rnacentral:rRNA from 1 species
UUCCUUCGGGACAGGCGAGACAGGUGGUGCAUGGUUGUCGUCAGCUCGUGUCGUGAGAUGUUGGGUUAAGUCCCGCAACGAGCGCAACCCCUAUUUCCAGUAGCCAGCAGUGAGAUGGGAACUCUGGAGAGACUGCCGGGGACAACCCGGAGGAAGGUGGGGACGACGUCAAAUCAUCAUGCCCCUUAUGGGCUGGGCUACACACGUGCUACAAUGGUGCCAACAGAGUGAGGCGACCCCGCGAGGGCAGGCAAAUCACAAAAAUGGCAUCUCAGUUCGGAUUGCAGUCUGCAACUCGACUGCAUGAAGCUGGAAUCGCUAGUAAUCGCGAAUCAGAAUGUCGCGGUGAAUACGUUCCCGGGUCUUGUACACACCGCCCGUCACACCAUGGGAGUUGGGAAUGCCCGAAGCCGGUGACCUAACCGAGAGGGAGGAGCCGUCGAAGGCAGGCUCGAUAACUGGGGUGAAGUCGUAACAAGGUAGCCGUAUCGGAAGGUGCGGCUGGAUCACCUCCUU